rnacentral:lncRNA from 1 species
AGGGCUGCGGCAGAACUUUCAACUCGUGAUAACAUUAAUUGGCAACAUUCAAGAGAGCAGCGCUUAGCUUCGGGUUCUUCACCAAGAUAUGAAGGGCAUUAUACUGGCUCUAGAUUGCAAGGUGAGGAACUUUCCAAGGAUAUGGCAAACACAUCCAAAAUUAAGUCUCAUGUGUCCAAUGAACAGCUUGAUGACACUGGAGAAGAU